AUUGAACGCUGGCGGCAGGCCUAACACAUGCAAGUCGAACGGUAACAGGAAACAGCUUGCUGUUUCGCUGACGAGUGGCGGACGGGUGAGUAAUGUCUGGGAAACUGCCUGAUGGAGGGGGAUAACUACUGGAAACGGUAGCUAAUACCGCAUAAUGUCGCAAGACCAAAGAGGGGGACCUUCGGGCCUCUUGCCAUCGGAUGUGCCCAGAUGGGAUUAGCUUGUUGGUGGGGUAACGGCUCACCAAGGCGACGAUCCCUAGCUGGUCUGAGAGGAUGACCAGCCACAGUGGAACUGAGGCACGGUCCAGACUCCUACGGGAGGCAGCAGUGGGGAAUAUUGGACAAUGGGCGCAAGCCUGAUGCAGCCAUGCCGCGUGUAUGAAGAAGGCCUUCGGGUUGUAAAGUACUUUCAGCGGGGAGGAAGGGAGUAAAGUUAAUACCUUUACUCAUUGACGUUACCCGCAGAAGAAGCACCGGCUAACUCCGUGCCAGCAGCCGCAGUAA
rnacentral:rRNA from 1 species